rnacentral:misc_RNA from 1 species
GAUGAAGAACGUAGUGAAAUGCGAUACGUAAUGUGAAUUGCAGAAUUCAGUGAAUCAUCGAAUCUUUGAACGCACAUUGCACUCUCUGGUAUUCCGGAGAGUAUGCUUGUUUGAGUAUCUGUAAACAUCUCAAAUCUCUCUUCAAUUGCUUCAAUUGGGUCGAGAGAAUUGGAUUUGAGCGAUCCCGACUCCUUCGUCAGAAAGAGGAGGGUCGCUUGAAAUGCAGGUGCAGCUGGACAUUCUUCUGAGCAAAAAGCAUAUCUAUUUAGUCCCGUCAAACGGAUUAUUACUUUUGCUUCAGCUAAUAUAAAGGUUGAAUGAACUACCAACGCUGAUUGCAGGAAAACAUGUUCGUUUAUUCGGACUUGUAAACUCGAUCUCAAAUCAAGUAAGACUACCCGCUGAACUUAAGCAUAUUAAUAAGCGGAGGA